AACAAUUGCAUUCACGCUUGUCAUGGACAAGUUGUCAUCAUGAGAUAAUGACGAUAUCAUAGAAUAUAAUCGAGCCUGCAAUGCAGCUUCCAUCGAAUGCCUUUGAUUAUUUUCAAUCACCAUACCAUCGGAAGCAAAGAUGUCCGGAAUUUAAACGUUAAAACUCCAAGACCGUGUAAGGAAUCGAUAAAUUGAGAAAAAAAGUCCUUGGAGUUCGUUUUUGUUUCUUUUUGAAAAAAAUCCCAAGAAACAAUUUUUAUCUAUUUAUUUAUUUCUUCUACAACCUUCCGUAGGUUUUGGUUCUUUCAACAAUUCUACACUAUUCUUUUCUAACGUUCUAACUCUCCUUCAACCUCUGACAUCUUUAAGUUUUCUUUGACUCCAUUAUCUUCUUAAUCUGCUCGGCCCAGCUCUUGCAGGUUUUCAUUUUAUCACAGUUCUUGUGUUUUUGUCUGUCCGUUCUGUCAGAUGUUUUAAUUCUUUGUAAUUUAAUAAAACUAAAUAUCCUUAUUGACUAACAAAGAAACGUUUUUAGUUGUAAGUCUCCGAUUUGAAUAAGUUUGAAAUAUGUUGUAGAGUAGCUAAAAAUAAAAGACGUAUUUUUUUUAAGUGCCCAAGCGUUUAGAGUGUAAAACAUCCGUUUAAAAAAAUUGUUUUCUCCCUUUUGGAACGAAUACCGACUAUAAAAGAUAAAAAUUUUUUAAAGUAAAAGUUAAAUAACUCCAGAGGUACUAUAAAACAGUGGAAAACAAUUUGUUUUAAUUUUUCAAAAUACCCCUAUCACUUAACAUUUUUUUCAAAAUUUUGAAAUUUAUUUACGACCAAAUCAAAGGUUAUUUUAUUACAAAUUUAGCUAUGUAUGAUAAUGUUAUGCUAUGGAAAACCAUUUUCGAGAAUUAAUUAUAGUUCCUCUACAGAUACGCUUUCCGUUUGUCUAUGCGCUCGAAUCUUCAUGCAACGUUCGGUUCUUCUUUCCGUAAUAAAGGAUUCCAACAAAAUUACCUUUUUAAAAAAGGUAUUUUGUAAAGAAACGCUAAGUAUACGCGCACAAGAAACGCCCUAAGAAAUGUAUUCUUGUAUAAAAUAAUUUUAAUUUGGCACUAAAAAUGUAUGAAAUUUUAAUAAAGUAAUUCCCCCCCCCAAAAAAAAAA